CGGAGGGUGCAAGCGUUGUCCGGAUUUAUUGGGUUUAAAGGGUGCGUAGGCGGGCCUUUAAGUCAGUGGUGAAAGCCGACAGCUCAACUGUCGAAAUGCCAUUGAUACUGGAGGUCUUGGGUACAGUAGAGGUAGGCGGAAUUGAUGGUGUAGCGGUGAAAUGCAUAGAUACCAUCAAGAACACCGAUUGCGAAGGCAGCUUACUAUAGUGUAACUGACGCUGAGGCACGAAAGUGUGGGGAUCAAACAGGAUUAGAUACCCUGGUAGUCCACACUGUAAACGAUGAUCACUCGCUGUUGGCGAUAGACAGUCAGCGGCUUAGCGAAAGCGAUAAGUGAUCCACCUGGGGAGUACGCUCGCAAGAGUG
rnacentral:rRNA from 1 species